rnacentral:tRNA from 1 species
AUUUUUGUGGUGUAUUUGCCCGAAAGAUUUUCAAUUCUUAAGAAUAAUAUUAAUUUAUUAUCAAAAGUAG